rnacentral:tRNA from 1 species
GGAUAGAGGUAGUUUAAUUGGAAAAACACAGGUUUGCUAAACCUGAAAUUUAGGUUCGAGUCCUAACGCUUCCACCA